UCGAGAAUUUUUCUCAAUGGGCGAAAGCCUGAAGGAGCGACGCCGCGUGGGGGAUGAAGGGUUUCGAUCCGUAAACCCCUGUCAUUUGCGAACAAACCUUAGCAUUUAAAAGAUGUUGAGCUGAUUGUAGUGAAAGAGGAAGGGACGGCUAACUCUGUGCCAGCAGCCGCGGUAAUACAGAGGUCCCAAGCGUUGUUCGGAUUCACUGGGCGUAAAGGGUGCGUAGGUGGCUUGGUAAGUUUGAUGUGAAAUCUCCGGGCUUAACCCGGAAAUGGCAUUGAAUACUAUUGAGCUGGAGGUUUGGAGGGGGGACUGGAAUUCUCGGUGUAGCAGUGAAAUGCGUAGAUAUCGAGAGGAACACCAGUGGCGAAGGCGAGUCCCUGGACAACACCUGACACUGAGGCACGAAAGCUAGGGGAGCAAACAG
rnacentral:rRNA from 1 species